ensembl:lncRNA
GUCACUUCUGUGAACAGAUUUCUUCCAGACUGAAAAAUGCCAACCAAAACUGUGAAUGCAUUUGGACCAGGUCACAUUGAAAAAAUAUAAAAGUAUGUUCAAUUAUGCAAUAUACAAUUUCCCUUUCUCCUUCUGUCCCAGGUGGGUGUUGUGUGACAGGAUGGAGUGUGCCUGGUUACCAUAGGAAUGCAACAUGCAAGGAAGAUUCUAAAUAGAAAGCAGUUAAUCUAACUAAGCAUCUUUUGGUGCCACUGCCUCAUUCUUUAAAUCCUUAACACCUAUAACAUUUAAAAGGCAGAUAUUUGGAAAUAAGCUUUACCCAGCAAAGUUACAGAACCCUGAGAAAACACCUGGAGGAAAGGCAAGUGUGUAAAUGUGCAGCUCAGGGGGGAUCAGUGUUUUUAUCUCUUACAAGAGACACACAAUUCCUGUCAGCUGCAGAGCUGAUGGGAUCUGAACAAGGCUUUUCAUGCCCGUUGCCUUCCACUCUUCAUCAGUUCUGCUCUGUCAUGGUUAAUGUUCUCCCUUGCAGCAACCUUAAUUGUUUUUUGAGGGUUAGAAGAGUGAUCAUAAUCGCUGCUGUUAUGGAUUUAAUUCUGAUCUGCAAAGAGACUGUGCUGUGAGCAAACGUUUUCAUUUUGAGCACUUAAAUCAAUGGUUUUCAAUUACAAAUAGAGAACACAGGAGCUGGAAAUGUUCCUUACCAGAGGGUAGAUCCUGCCCCUAUUUGUCACUCACAUUGCUUAUUUUUCAGGCAUUCACAGUUGAAAUUCUGAGCUCUGGAAAUAAAGGAUGUGGUAUCUUGUUGUGGUGUUGUGAGGGUCCUCAGGAUGAGGGGAAGAAAUCCUGGCAAAGGGAUUUUUCAGGAACUAUCGUGGUGACAGUAUCUACAAAAAAAACAUUCCACUUGUGGAUGAUCUCUAACUAAUUGCAGUGUGGAAUUGUUUUGUGCCUACAUCCUGGCAAUGCCAUGGGGGAACCUCCAGGGAAGCAGCUGCUGAUUAUGGCAAUGUAUCAGGGGAAAUCCCAUCCCUUGAAAGAACGCAUAGCCAGGAGCAUCACUUCAUUAAAACAACUCCACUUAAACUGAGCUUCUCGUUGCGAAAUUCAGAGUACUGAGACAAUACCAGCAGUAGAAAAAAGAAUGAAAACUCCCAGCUGAAAUAAUGCCCAGAAAUUGCAUUCACUCAGUGCCAAAGACCUGUGGAUGGCUGCAGUCUGACAAAGCUCUUCACUGAGCUAGUUCAGGUAAGCACACUUUACAUAUGAGUAAAUUUUGUGUCAUUUUUCUUGUAUUUCCUCCUAGGUAUUUGGGGUUACAGUGCAAAUAUUCUGUCUUAUCUGAGUAGCUGUUUACUUUAAAUUGUCUCAUGAAUUUAAUUAGGUACUUUUGAAUUUUGGUGCUGUUCACUGUCAGUGCAGCCAGUGAUGGGUGCCAGUAGUAAAUGCCUUAUUGUCUGUAUAUCACGUUACACUGACACUGCUGUCUACACAUCUGGUCACCAGUGUGACAGAGCUCUAUCUACUCUUGGAAUUUUGUAGUGAUAAUGGAAUGUUAAAGAGAAUAAAAUACAUGUGUGGGUUAGUAUUUAGGCA